GAUGAACGCUGGCGGCGUGCUUAACACAUGCAAGUCGAACGAUGAAGCCCAGCUUGCUGGGUGGAUUAGUGGCGAACGGGUGAGUAACACGUGAGUAACCUGCCCUUAACUCUGGGAUAAGCCUGGGAAACUGGGUCUAAUACCGGAUAGGAGCGUCCACCGCAUGGUGGGUGUUGGAAAGAUUUAUCGGUUUUGGAUGGACUCGCGGCCUAUCAGCUUGUUGGUAAGGUAAUGGCUCACCAAGGCGACGACGGGUAGCCGGCCUGAGAGGGUGACCGGCCACACUGGGACUGAGACACGGCCCAGACUCCUACGGGAGGCAGCAGUGGGGAAUAUUGCACAAUGGGCGCAAGCCUGAUGCAGCGACGCCGCGUGAGGGAUGACGGCCUUCGGGUUGUAAACCUCUUUCAGUAGGGAAGAAGCGAAAGUGACGGUACCUGCAGAAGAAGCACCGGCUAACUACGU
rnacentral:rRNA from 1 species